GGAGAACGAAUACGUGGAGUCAGGAGAGUACGUGUAGGACGAUCCAGAACCAUUCCAAGCUGAGGAUAUCACAGGCAAGAUGAUAUGACCUUGAUCCCAUCUCUAGACUUGUUAUGUUAGUUUCGAUUCCACGUCAUAUUGCUCGCUGCCUAUCAUUGAAAAUAUAUUGCCUCUUCAUGUGCCAUGAGCCUAAACACCUUACUCUUUCCUAGCAAACUUGCAUGGCUAGGUAGGCUUGCUCAGCUACUAAUGUUAGCGUUGUUAGUUGCAGGUGAUUUAAACUCAUGUGAUGACAUGAGAUUGAUAUCAUUAUAUUAAUUUCUGUUAUUUAAUUAAUGUAUCUAUAUGCUUGGUAAAUGACGGGAGGCCUAGCCUUUUGCCGGGUGUCUUGUUCCGUUAUUG
rnacentral:lncRNA from 1 species